UCCAGACUCCUACGGGAGGCAGCAGUGGGGGAUAUUGCACAAUGGGGGAAACCCUGAUGCAGCGACGCCGCGUGAGUGAAGAAGUAUUUCGGUAUGUAAAGCUCUAUCAGCAGGGAAGAAAAAAGACGGUACCUGACUAAGAAGCCCCGGCUAACUACGUGCCAGCAGCCGCGGUAAUACGUAGGGGGCAAGCGUUAUCCGGAUUUACUGGGUGUAAAGGGGGCGCAGACGGCGAUGCAAGCCAGGAGUGAAAGCCCGGGGCCCGACCCCGGGACUGCUCUUGGAACUGCGUGGCUGGAGUGCAGGAGGGGCAGGCGGAAUUCCUGGUGUAGCGGUGAAAUGCGUAGAUAUCAGGAGGAACACCGGUGGCGAAGGCGGCCUGCUGGACUGCAACUGACGUUGAGGCCCGAAAGCGUGGGGAGCAAACAGGAUUAGAUACCCGAGUA
rnacentral:rRNA from 1 species